AGAGUUUGAUCAUGGCUCAGAUUGAACGCUGGCGGCAGGCCUAACACAUGCAAGUCGAGCGGAUGACGGGAGCUUGCUCCUUGAUUCAGCGGCGGACGGGUGAGUAAUGCCUAGGAAUCUGCCUGGUAGUGGGGGACAACGUUUCGAAAGGAACGCUAAUACCGCAUACGUCCUACGGGAGAAAGCAGGGGACCUUCGGGCCUUNCGCUAUCAGAUGAGCCUAGGUCGGAUUAGCUAGUUGGUGGGGUAAUGGCUCACCAAGGCGACGAUCCGUAACUGGUCUGAGAGGAUGAUCAGUCACACUGGAACUGAGACACGGUCCAGACUCCUACGGGAGGCAGCAGUGGGGAAUAUUGGANAAUGGGCGAAAGCCUGAUCCAGCCAUGCCGCGUGUGUGAAGAAGGUCUUCNGAUUGUAAAGCACUUUAAGUUGGGAGGAAGGGCAGUAAGNUAAUACCUUGCUGUUUUGACGUUACCGACAGAAUAAGCACCGGCUAACUCUNUGCCAGCAGCCGCGGUAAUACAGAGGGUGCAAGCGUUAAUCGGAAUUACUGGGCGUAAAGCGCGCGUAGGUGGUUUGUUAAGUUGGAUGUGAAAGCCCCGGGCUCAACCUGGGAACUGCAUCCAAAACUGGCAAGCUAGAGUACGGUAGAGGGUGGUGGAAUUUCCUGUGUAGCGGUGAAAUGCGUAGAUAUAGGAAGGAACACCAGUGGCGAAGGCGACCACCUGGACUGAUACUGACACUGAGGUGCGAAAGCGUGGGGAGCAAACNGGAUUAGAUACCCUGGUAGUCCACGCCGUAAACGAUGUCAACUAGCCGUUGGAAUCCUUGAGAUUUUAGUGGCGCAGCUAACGCAUUAAGUUGACCGCCUGGGGAGUACGGCCGCAAGGUUAAAACUCAAAUGAAUUGACGGGGGCCCGCACAAGCGGUGGAGCAUGUGGUUUAAUUCGAAGCAACGCGAAGAACCUUA
rnacentral:rRNA from 1 species